rnacentral:rRNA from 1 species
GACGAACGCUGGCGGCGUGGAUUAGGCAUGCAAGUCGAACGGUAUCAUCCUUUCGGGGGUGAGAGAGUGGCGAACUGGUGAGUAACACGUAGGUUAUCUACCCUCAAGACGGGGACAACCCAGGGAAACUUGGGCUAAUACCGGAUGUGAGCAACUUUUAGUUGUUUGAAAGGUGGCGUAAGCUGUCGCUUGGGGAUGAGCCUGCGUCCUAUUAGUUAGUUGGUGAGGUAACGGCUCACCUAGGCAAUGAUAGGUAGGCGGCCUUAACGGGUGGUCGCCCACACUGGGAUUGAGAUACGGCCAGACUCCUACGGGAGGCAGCAGUCGAGAAUAGUCUACAAUGGUCGGAAGACUGAUAGUGCGACGCCGCGUGAACGAUGAAUCCCCUUGGGGUGUAAAGUUCUUUUAUAUGUGAGCAGUGCUUCUUAUAUUAACAGUAUGGGGAAGAGAUAUUAGCAUAUGAAUAAGCAACGGCUAACUCCGUGCCAGCAGCCGCGGU